rnacentral:rRNA from 1 species
AUUGAACGCUGGCGGCAUGCUUUACACAUGCAAGUCGAACGGUAACGCGUGUUUCGGUCCUGCCGCGUGUGGCGCACGUGUGUAUUAUAUCUCGACGCGUCUCCUAGUGUGGGGUAACUCCCCGCGAGAGUCGCUUUUAUCCCACAUACUCUACGAGUGUAAGCACGGGGCCUCCGGACCUCGCGCUCUUUUGGCGCCUCCGAUGUCGGAUUAGCUAGUUGGUGGGGUAAAGGCUUACCAAGGCGGCGAUCCGUAGCUGGUCUGAGAGGACGACCAGCCACACUGGGACUGAGACACGGCCCAGACUCCUACGGGAGGCAGCAGUGGGGAAUUUUGGACAAUGGGGGAAAGCCUGAUCCAGCAAUGCCGCGUGCGGGAAGAAGGCCUUCGGGUUGUAAACUGCUUUUGUACGGGAAGAAAAGCUUGGGGCUAAUACCCCGGGGGGAUGACGGUACCGGAAGAAUAAGCACCGGCUAACUACGUG